UAUGUGAUCGUCUCUCGCAUAUCAAUAAGCGGAGGAAAAGAAACUAACAAGGAUUCCCCUAGUAACGGCGAGUGAAGCGGGAAGAGCUCAAAUUUGAAAUCUUAAAGGGUUUCCCUUUACGAAUUGUAGUUUAAAGAAGUGUUUUCUGUUGAGGUUUUGGUAAAAGUUCUUUGGAAUAGGACAUCAUAGAGGGUGAGAAUCCCGUAUUUGACCUUUACUUUCAACUUUGUGAUACACUUUCAAAGAGUCGGAUUGUUUGGGAAUGCAGUCCAAAAUGGGUGGUAAAUUUCAUCUAAAGCUAAAUAUUGGCGAGAGACCGAUAGCGAACAAGUACCGUGAGGGAAAGACGAAAAGAACUUUGAAAAGAGAGUUAAACAGUACGUGAAAUUGUCAAAAGGGAAGCGUUUGACACCAGUGUUGUUUUUCUGAAAAUCAAUUAAAGAACUGUUUAUGCUAAGCUGUUUAGACUUUAUCAGCUAUCUGUUUAGUUUUGAGCUUUUCUUUAAUGCACUUUUCAGUUAACAAGUCAACAUCAAUUUCUUUUGCUGUAAAAAAGCUUGAGGAAGGUGGCUUGAGAUUCGUCUUAAGUGUUUAUAGCCUCUUGCCUAUGCAGUCGGAGAGAUUGAGGUCUGCAGCGUAGAUCCUUCGGGGCUAAAUGCAUUUGUGCUAAGUUAUAGCAUUUUAUAGACAACUUGUUGACUAUGAUUUGUCUUGUAGCUUACUCGCUUAUGUUAUUUUACCUACGCUUAGGAUGUUGAAGAUAUGCGCGACACG
rnacentral:rRNA from 1 species